CAAUAACGUAUAUUAAAGUUGUUGCAGUUAAAAAGCUCGUAGUUGGAUAUCUGACGAGAGUUGACGGCCCGCCUUCGGGAUGAGCGCUGGAUUCUCGAGUCUAUCUUUCGGUUGUUAGCCUUUCCCUUCAUUGGGCGAGGUCUAGUAUCCGGAUCAGUUACUUUGAAUAAAAACGGGUGUUCAACGCAGGCUUAUGCCUUGAAGUAUGCAGCAUGGAAUAGCAACCAUAGGACUAUAGUGUUCUAUUCAGUUGGUUCUGGGACCUUAGUAAUGAUUGAUAGGGACAGUUGGGGGUGCUGCUAUUCCGCGGCCAGAGGUGAAAUUCUCAGAUUCCCGGAAGAGCAACUUAUGCGAAAGCAUUCACCAAGGAUGUCUUCUUUAA
rnacentral:rRNA from 1 species